rnacentral:rRNA from 1 species
UGGGGAAUUUUGGACAAUGGGCGAAAGCCUGAUCCAGCAAUGCCGCGUGUGUGAAGAAGGCCUUCGGGUUGUAAAGCACUUUUGUCCGGAAAGAAAUCCUUGGCUCUAAUACAGUCGGGGGAUGACGGUACCGGAAGAAUAAGCACCGGCUAACUACGCGCCAGCAGCCGCGGUAAUACGUAGGGUGCAAGCGUUAAUCGGAAUUACUGGGCGUAAAGCGUGCGCAGGCGGUUUGCUAAGACCGAUGUGAAAUCCCCGGGCUCAACCUGGGAACUGCAUUGGUGACUGGCAGGCUAGAGUAUGGCAGAGGGGGGUAGAAUUCCACGUGUAGCAGUGAAAUGCGUAGAGAUGUGGAGGAAUACCGAUGGCGAAGGCAGCCCCCUGGGCCAAUACUGACGCUCAUGCACGAAAGCGUGGGGAGCAAACAGGAUUAGAUACCCUGGUAGUCCACGCCCUAAACGAUGUCAACUAGUUGUUGGGGAUUCAUUUCCUUAGUAACGUAGCUAACGCGUGAAGUUGACCGCCUGGGGAGUACGGUCGCAAGAUUAAAACUU